rnacentral:rRNA from 1 species
AUACGUAGGUGGCGAGCGUUGUCCGGAAUUAUUGGGCGUAAAGAGCGCGUAGGCGGCUUGUCAGGUCCAACGUGAAAUCCCGGGGCUCAACCCCGGACGUGCGUCGGAAACCGGCUUGCUAGAGUCUGGGAGAGGGAAGUGGAAUUCCUGGUGUAGCGGUGAAAUGCGCAGAUAUCAGGAGGAACACCGGUAGCGAAGGCUGCUUCCUGGAACAGUACUGACGCUGAGGCGCGAAAGCUAGGGGAGCAAACAGGAUUAGAUACCCUGGUAGUCCUAGCCGUAAACGAUGGACACUAGGUGUCGGGAGUGUCGACUCUCCCGGUGCCGAAGCUAACGCAUUAAGUGUCCCGCCUGGGGAGUACGGCCGCAAGGUUAAA